rnacentral:rRNA from 1 species
ACAUGCCUACAACUUAGUGUUAAUGCACUAUAUCCCAUUAGAACUCCAUAGUUAAGCGCACUCAGGCUAGAGUAGUACCGGGAUGGGUGAUCGCCUGGGAAGUCCUAGUAUUUUACAUGCC